rnacentral:tRNA from 1 species
GAAAUAUAGUAAGAAAAAGCUGCUAACUUUAUUCUCUAAUGAUUAAAUUCCAUUAAUAUUUCU